AUGCAUAUUUGUCAGGUGAUUUCUAGUGCAAACUAUUCAAUAAUCUAUUUAUGUUAUCCAGAACAAAAAUACUUCACACACUUUUGUGUUUUGUCUAAUUGCAGGUGUAUGGGACAUUUGUACAAUCCACAUAUGAAGAUAAGGAAGAAAGAGAUGUUUAUUUGUUGUCCAAAAAGUUCUCUCACGUCACUUUUGUCCCAAGAGAAGAUAGAGUCCAAGUCUCUCACGUUCUGGAUUCAGAUUCGGACUGCACAGACACACCUGACUCAAAACGCACACAAGUUUCUCAUACGGACUCCGAAUUGGGUGAUUCUUUUUUUGUUGGAAACUAGAUUUCGUGCACUUUCCAACCCAAUUGGAAUCACCUUCAAAUUCGUCCGGAGCGUUGAGUUGUGGACGAAACAAUAUGAUGCUGCAGCAGAAUCCGAGUCAAACUACAAGUCCAAAGGUGUUACAUCACCUUCACUUGGGCCCAUUGGCCUUGUACGACCUAGAUUUAGUUUUAGGCUGCCUUGGGACGUCCUCCCACCUCCUUGGCCGCCACCCCUUGCUCCUAUAUAA
rnacentral:rRNA from 1 species